AUGCCUUCGCGGGGGAAACGGGGCAAGGGGGCCCUCGUGGGGACCCCCUGCGUAGGCGUCCCAUGUCCGCCCCUGCCAAGGCGCCUAAGGGCGAAGGAAAGCCCCCUUCGCAGCACACGUGCAGGGAUCCAGGCCCUGCCACGGGGCCCACAGAAGGCGCUUGUGGGAGCUGGCGGGGGUCUCUGGGUCCUUACCCCCUCCCUCUCCGCCCCCCGCGACCCCUUUACCUCUUUGUCCUCGCUCCCGAUUCUCCUGUCCUGCAACAUCCACCGGGCGGGGGUUCCCUCCCCUGCCGCCCCACCUUUCCUUUCCAAAGCGCGCUCCCCGAGAGCUACGGGGCAGAGCAGCAAUCCGGCGCAGAAGCUCCACGUCCGGGAGAAGCAGGCAGUUCGGGAGGGGGGCUCUCUCCGCUCAUUCCGGAAACAGAAGCCGGAUUGGAGGAGGAGCAGAAGGAAGAGGUGCGACAUACGGGGGGGGGGGGUUGAGGGUUGUGGGGGCGGGGUGAGAGGAGGAUGUACCGGGAAGGGAGGGAUAGAGGGGGGGAGACAAAGGUUUUCCCCCUCCCUUCUUCGUUCAGGGGAUCAGGAGAGCGGGGGAGGGGCUGAUCCUGGCAAUCCAGCUGCAAAGUGCCCCCCCUACAAUGUUUACAUUGAAAAUCCUCCCCCCCCCGCCCCACACGCCAUGAUCUUAGAUCCAUUCCAUGUUUUAGGUAUUGGUGCACAUUGAGCAGCGGGUUGGGGUCUGGGACUCCUGUGUUACGGGGAAAAUGGGGCUUGGGCUUCUGCACACACACACACACACAGAGAGAGAGAGAGAGAGAGAGAGAGAGAGAGAGAGCCGACACAAUUCCUCCCUUGUGUCUCCGUCAGAGGUAACACAAUGAGGCCAGGAAGAAAGCAAGGCAGCUGUUGAUCUGUUUGCGCGCAGAGCCCCCCCCCCCAUGGAAGGAGUGAAGCAGCCCAGAACUAAAGCGCGUUGCAAUUUGUGCACCCUCAGAUAGUAGCCCC
rnacentral:lncRNA from 1 species